AUUGAACGCUGGCGGCAGGCUUAACACAUGCAAGUCGAACGAGUGGCGGACGGGUGAGUAAUGCCUGGGAAACUGCCUGAUGGAGGGGGAUAACUACUGGAAACGGUAGCUAAUACCGCAUACCAUCGGAUGUGCCCAGAUGGGAUUAGCUAGUUGGUGGGGUAACGGCUCACCAAGGCGCCGAUCCCUAGCUGGUCUGAGAGGAUGACCGUCCACUCUGGAACGGAGACAGGCUCCAGACUCCUACGGGAGGAAGAGGUGGGGAAUAUUGCACAAUGGGGGCAAGCCUGAGGCAGCCAUGCCGGGGGUAUGAAGAAGGCCUUCGGUUUGUAAAGUACUUUCAGCGGGGAGGCGUUACCCGAAGAAGAAGCACCGGCUAACUCCGUGCCAGCAGCCGCGGUAAUAC
rnacentral:rRNA from 1 species